AGCCUCCCCCAAGUCCUCCGCUGAGUCACCCAGCGGCGGCAGUGACAGCUCAGCUUCCGCUCCUUCCUCCGACGAAUCCGCAUCUUCCCCGUCCUCCGACGAAUCCGCAUCUUCCCCGUCCUCCGGCGACAGCUCUGAGGCCCCGGCGUCUUCUUCCGAUGACUCCGGAAGCGCUCCUGAGGCUGACGUGUCCUCCCCACCUGCCCCCGACGCUG
rnacentral:lncRNA from 1 species